UAGUCAACAAGUGCCUUCAUGUUUUGUCUCC
rnacentral:piRNA from 1 species